CCUACGGGUGGCAGCAGUGGGGAAUAUUGCACAAUGGGCGAAACCCUGAUGCAGCAACGCCGCGUGAGUGAAGAAGUAUUUCGGUAUGUAAAGCUCUAUCAGCAGGGAAGAAAAUGACGAUGCCUGAUGAAGAAGCCCCGACUAACUACGUGCCAGCAGCAGCGGUAAUACGUAGGGGGCAACCGUUAUCCGGAUUUACUGGGUGUUAAGGGAGCGUAGACGGCAGCACAAGUCUGGAGUGAAAUGCCGGGGCUUAACCCCGGAACUGCUUUGGAAACUGUGCAGCUAGAGUGCAGGAGAGGUAAGUGGAAUUCCUAGUGUAGCGGUGAAAUGCGUAGAUAUUAGGAGGAACACCAGUGGCGAAGGCGGCUUACUGGACUGCAACUGACGUUGAGGCGCGAAAGCGUGGGGAGCAAACAGGAUUAGAUACCCUGGUAGUC
rnacentral:rRNA from 1 species